UGGGGAAUCUUGCACAAUGGGCGCAAGCCUGAUGCAGCAACGCCGCGUGCGGGAAGACGGCCCUAGGGUUGUAAACCGCUUUCAGGAGGGAAGAAAAUGACGGUACCUCCAGAAGAAGGUGCGGCCAACUACGUGCCAGCAGCCGCGUGACACGUAGGCACCAAGCGUUAUCCGGAUUUAUUGGGCGUAAAGAGCUCGUAGGCGGUUCGGUAAGUCGGGUGUGAAAAUCCAAGGCUCAACCUUGGGACGCCACCCGAUACUGCUGUGACUCGAGUGCAGUAGGGGAGCAGGGAAUUCCUGGUGUAGCGGUGAAAUGCGCAGAUAUCAGGAGGAACACCAGUGGCGAAGGCGCUGCUCUGGGCUGUAACUGACGCUGAGGAGCGAAAGCAUGGGUAGCAAAACAGGAUUAGAUACCCUGGUAGUCCAUGCCGUAAACGUUGGGCACUAGGUGUGGGUCUCAACCAACGAGAUCCGCGCCGUCGCUAACGCAUUAAGUGCCCCGCCUGGGGAGUACGGUCGCAAGACUAAAACUCAAAGGAAUUGA
rnacentral:rRNA from 1 species